UUGGAGGGCAAGUCUGGUGCCCGCAGCCGCGGUAAUUCCAGCUCCAAUAGCGUAUAUUAAAGUUGUUGCAGUUAAAAAGCUCGUAGUUGAAUUUCGGGGUUAGUAGGUUGGUCAUGCCUCUGGUAUGUACUGGUCUCACUGAUUCCUCCUUCCUGAUGAACCGUAAUGCCAUUAAUUUGGUGUUGCGGGGAAUUUGGACUGUUACUUUGAAAAAAUUAGAGUGUUUAAAGCAAGCUAACGCUUGAAUACAUUAGCAUGGAAUAAUGAAAUAGGACG
rnacentral:rRNA from 1 species